rnacentral:RNase_P_RNA from 1 species
ACGGUUGCGUGAGAAAUCACGAGGAAAGUCCGAACACCGCAGAACAGGGCGCCUGCUAACGGCAGGUGAAGGCGACUUUAAGGAAAGUGGAACAGAAAUAAACCGCCGCUUUACGCGGUAAGGGUGGAAAGGCAGGGUAAGAGCCUACCGGCGUUACGGUAACGCGACGCGUCUAUCCAAACCCCGCCCGGUGCAAGAUAGCGGGAGAAAUCGGUUGUUCGCCGUCUCCCCGAAUCGCUCGAACGGCCCGGCGACGAGCCGUCUAGACAGAUAACCGUUCAAGACAGAAUUCGGCUUACAGAUUAUCUUG